UUAAUUGAAGCCAAAGAGAGGCAAAUCAUUGUUAAUGAUUAAAUUGAGGAUCUCCAAUUGUU
rnacentral:tRNA from 1 species